GUUUUUUUCGACUGCUGAAAGGAGGACUUGUAUAUGUAGUAAACUGUAUAGAUACAAAAUAGUAUACGCAUAUCCUGUAUCCUGCUUUCAUUGGAAGAGAACAUAUCCAUUUAAAUUAUUUUUACAUUAAUUGCAGUUUUGUAAAUUACUACUUGCUACGAAAAUGGAGAAAACUCUGAAAACAUCUUCUUUUUCUCGCAUUUGAAUUAAAGCUCAUACAAAUAAAUAUUACACAUUUCGAAAAUAAACGAAUUUUGUCUUUGCAAUUUGCACUAUUGACUGUAAAGGGAGGUGUUCUUUUAAUUGGUAAACUGUGAGAAAAAUUAAACAACACCAAUGAUUCAAAUAUUUAAUACGUCCGAAUUGAUAAAAACUCAUUUCCAGGAAAUAUAGCAUUUGGUGACACCUAAAUUACCUUUUUAACAAUUAAAACGUGGUCGGUCUUAUAAAUUUAGAAACAAUGACUUAAGCCAACCGGUAAAUCAUGAAGCCUAUCACAUAUUUAUACAUAUUAGCUUACUAGCCUUUGCAAAAGGACAUGUUCUUUAACAUCCAUGUACAUUCACGUUUUAAGCCGUAUAAUUGUACCAUUUUGGUCCAUCGCACUUUAGCGUGAUACGCCAUCGUACUUUAGCAAACAAACAACCAUCGCACUUUAGCGUAAGGCACCACCGUACUUUAACGUAUUCCAUCGCACUUUAGCGCGGCCAUCGCACUUUAGAGUCCUACAUAUAUACAUACACACUUUUAUUUCAUCAAUUACAAUAAAUCACUUUAUAUGAUAAACACAAAGUUUUAAAAUCUUUCUGUUUUCAAUUCAACCGCUUGGUUCUGGUAUAUUUCCCCCUUUUCUAUUUUUCCUGAUAACGGACAAAAUCAUAAAAAAUUUCCCCCUUCUUUUUCAGACCUCAUUGCUGCCAACCUGCUAAUUACUGAUCCUUUUUUUUUUAUUUUUUCCUGCACCUCGAGUAAAGACAAGUUGAAUCUGUCCUUGACAUCAACAUAGAACACUUCAUAGUGUCCUUAAAAAUCAUCUGUUUUGAACAAUGAACAUCAUGAUAAAAAAUGUAAAGUUAGUCUACGAACAGUAUGGGCAUCAUUAUAAAAACAAAUGUAAAGCUAGCCAUCGCACAGUAUGUGUAUGGAACACAGGGAAGGUAGCACAGUGAAUUUUAAAUACUUUCAUAUAUAACUGCCAAGUGAAAUGACAAAGAUAGCCAUGGUUUUUCAUACUAAUUUUCUACGUAUGACACUGACCAAGAGUGUAAGAACUGGUAUCCCCCCCCUAACCAAAGUAUCAUGCCUUAACAUGUACAAAUUAAAAAAAAAAUCCCC
rnacentral:lncRNA from 1 species